GUGUUGUAUGAAAGGAGAAAAGGUUAGCACUCCCCUUGAUAAGGAUGGAAGGGGCCCUGCCCCAGUAGCCUUACAACACACAUAUAGUUAAGGCAUUGCCAUCUACCUAGUGGCAAAUAAGGGGCGGCAUGG